rnacentral:rRNA from 1 species
CCCUUAGAUGUCCUGGGCCGCACGCGUGCUACACUGACACUUACACCGAGUUUUUCCAAUGCCGAAAGGCCAUUGGUAAUCAGCAAUAAGUGUCGUGAUGGGGAUAGAUCUUUGGAAUUAUUGAUCUUGAACGAGGAAUGCCUAGUAAUCGUAGGUCAUCAGCCUGCGAUGAUUACGUCCCUGCCCUUUGUACACACCGCCCGUCGCUACUACCGAUUGAAUGGUUUAGUGAGAACUCGGGACUGGCACUAAGGGGCUGGCAACAGCCUAUUAGAGCCGGGAACUUGCUCAAACUUGAUCAUUUAGAGGAAGUAAAAGUCGUAACA